AUUGAACGCUGGCGGCAUGCCUUACACAUGCAAGUCGAACGGCAGCACGGGAGCAAUCCUGGUGGCGAGUGGCGAACGGGUGAGUAAUAUAUCGGAACGUGCCCAGUCGUGGGGGAUAACGUAGCGAAAGCUACGCUAAUACCGCAUACGAUCUAUGGAUGAAAGCGGGGGAUCGCAAGACCUCGCGCGAUUGGAGCGGCCGAUAUCAGAUUAGGUAGUUGGUGAGGUAAAGGCUCACCAAGCCGACGAUCUGUAGCUGGUCUGAGAGGACGACCAGCCACACUGGGACUGAGACACGGCCCAGACUCCUACGGGAGGCAGCAGUGGGGAAUUUUUGGACGAAUGGGCGCAAGCCUGAUCCAGCAAUGCCGCGUGCAGGA
rnacentral:rRNA from 1 species